UUCCCGUGGUACUAUGGAUCACUGUCACCACCUUAUUAGCUUUCUAAGCCACAUGCUUAUGGUCCUGCCCAUUGUCCAUUCUAACAAAUGGUGCACACCUGUAAUGUACCUUUUCUGAAUAAAGAAUGGCAAACUCUCUCAGACAUACUCACAUACAAAAGUUUUUCCAAUAGAUACAUCACAAACAGCUCUUAGACCAACUGAGGCUUGGUACUUAAAUUUAGAGAUACUUGCAGACUUCCACAGCAGCACAAUUUUGUUUUAUUUUUUCAGUGUAGCCUGUAGCCCUUUCAGUGUAGCACUCUGACAUCUACUACAGUGCUUUAUUGUUACGUGACAAUUGGUAAAUUAGCCUAACGUUACUUCCGCUGUUACGCUAGCUUCUCAACAGGUGUGCGAGCUGUUAACUGACUAUCGCUGGCUAACGUAGCUCCGGUAACUGUAUGCAACACUCCCGAAGUCCCCGCCCGCUGCGCGCACGCUUCGGACUAUGAACUAGCUAAAUCCCUGUGAUAAGCAGAUAUACCGCAGACGACAAAAACAAACUUGGCGUCAACUGAAGAUACCCCCCCCCCCCUUUUGACGGAGGCCGGCCGCCUACUUCUCCCCUGCCGCAGCCCUCACACAAUGUUUGGUCCUGGGACAGUCCUUCCAUUGAACGCACCGACCUCCCGACCUGCCAUUCCCACCUGCCUUGCUUCCCUCCAGUACAGUCACCUGGCUUUCCCUGCCCAUCUGUAGAUGUGGACUAUAUAUACCUGCUCUCUGCUCACAGUCAUUGUCGGUUCUCCUCGUUGCUAUUCCUGGUCUCAUAGCUGAAAAAGGAUGGCAAUGAGAGACAGUGAGAGUGAGAAUUAAAUGGGAAGAAUGAAAAGAGAAGGGGAAAAAAGGAACCAGGAGGAGAACGAAGGGGGAGUGAGGGAAGAGCAAAUAAAGUGGACAAGAGAGGAGAGACGAUGACUCGGGGAGGUGGAGCUGAAAAGAGAUGAAGAGAGAUGCGGAAAAGGAUCAGACAAGGAUGCAGGAUCUUAGAAUGGGAGGAGGGAAUCGCAGUUCUGUAAACUCAAACGAGACAACUGGGUAGGCCCUAGAGAUCUGUUAAUGUGAUGCAACGCCUUCUCUUCUUUUCUCUUCUUUUCUCUCUAUUUGUCUUCUUCUAUGUAUCUGGAGCUUUAGCACACUGUUGGUGAAGUGUCCUGCUCUAAAUUUAGU